CAAAUAACAAAAAAUGAAAACCAAUUGCAAAUUGUCUCAGAAUAUCACUCUACACAAUACUAAAAGUUAACUCAGAGGUGAACAACUCCUUUAAAUUGGCCGCCUUUACUGUGUUUUUAAGUUGCAUUCUCCUUAGCAUAAUCUGGACAUUUAUUAGGGGGCUGGAGACUUGCCAUUUACUUUGGGACCAAUUACAGGGAAGUGCUGACAAAUCCAGACUUUUGUUUUUCAAGUAUUUCACUUAUUUUGAAGCAUAUUUGUCAUGGCAACACAUUGUACAAGUAGAAAAACAGCCCAGGGAGUUGCUUUCUUCAGAAAUGCUGUUCAAACUAAAAUUACGAAAUGACCUGCAGAGUCUGUUGCCGCUGCUUAAAGGGGAUGCAAACCCAAAAGGUUUAAGGGUUGCCUAGCAAGAGGCAAUGGAAAUCUUUAACAGCUGUACUAUAUACACUAGGGCCCCCAUUUUUACUUUUUUCAGGGUGCCACGCCAAAAUGUAAAAUCCAGCAGAAAAAAAAGAAAUGCAGUUUACCUUUGUGGGACUGGGAAAGAAUGGAGGCAAUUCUGAGAAAAUUAAAAAUCCGGGGGCGUAAAAGUAUUCUUGUGCAUUCAUUAAAAAUGUUUAUAUUUUAAAUUACUUUACACCAUUAAAAGUGUUUUUUUCUGCACUGUUAGCUUUGUCUCUUGAAGCAAUGUAGCAUAAGUCAGCUUUGCAUGCUCCUUCACUGGUCUGUUAAAGGAGAACUAAAUUCUAGAGAAAUAAAAGCUAGAAAUGUCA